rnacentral:lncRNA from 1 species
AUGUUAAUUUUAAUAACAGUGUGUGUCAGAUGGUGUCAGGUGCUCACUCAGAAACCCUCCAUAAUGACUGAAGACAAGGGCAGAUCUGUGACUCUGGACUGUAAUAUUGAGAAAGAUGAGAAUUAUGUCAGCUGGCAUAAACAGACUCCAAACGCAGCUCCUCAGUUUGUGUUGAGAUAUUAUCAUUCUCUCAGCUCACCUGAUAGAUAUGGGGAUGGUUUUACCUCCAGCCGCUUCACAUCUAAAGCUCAGUCUAAAAUUGACUAUAGUCUGAUCAUCAGUAAUGUGGAUGUGAGUGAUUCUGCAGUGUAUUACUGUCAGACAUGGGACAGCUCUGUUAGUGAGGGCGUAUCACAGUGA